UACGGAGGAGGCAAGCGUUAUCCGGAAUUAUUGGGCGUAAAGCGUCCGUAGGUGGUUGGCCAAGCCUGCUGUCAAAGGGUGGGGCUUAACCUCAUAAAGGCAGUGGAAACUGGCGAGCUAGAGUGCGGUAGGGGUAGGGGGAAUUCCCAGUGUAGCGGUGAAAUGCGUAGAGAUUGGGAAGAACAUCGGUGGCGAAAGCGCCCUGCUGGGCCUGCACUGACACUGAGGGACGAAAGCUAGGGGGCCGAAAGGG
rnacentral:rRNA from 1 species